CUACGGGUUGCUCCAGUGGGGAAUAUUGCGCAAUGGGGGAAACCCUGACGCAGCAACGCCGUGUGGAGGAUGAAGGCCCUAGGGUUGUAAACUUCUGUUGAGAGGGAAGAAGUUCUGACGGUACCUCUUAAGAAAGCACCGGCUAAAUCCGUGCCAGCAGCCGCGGUAAUACGGAUGGUGCAAGCGUUAUUCGGAAUGUACUAGGUGUAAAGGGCGUGUAGGCGGCUUGUUAAGUUAGGGGUGAAAUCUUACGGCUCAACCGUAUGGCUGCAUCUAAAACUGGCAGGCUAGAGUAUGGAAGGGGAAAACGGAAUUCCUUGUGUAGCGGUGGAAUGUGUAGAUACAAGGAGGAACACCCAUGGCGAAAGCAGUUUUCUGGUUCAAUACUGACGCUAAGGCGCGAAAGCUAGGGGAGCAAACAGGAUUAGAUACCCUAGUAGUC
rnacentral:rRNA from 1 species